CCUACGGGCGGCAGCAGUGGGGAAUAUUGCUCAAUGGUGGAAACCCUGAACCAGCGACGCCGCGUGAGCGAUGAAGUAUCUCGGUAUGUAAAGCUCUAUCAGCAGGGGAGAAAAUGACGGUACCUGUCUAAGAAUCCCCGUCUAACUACGUGCCAGCAGCGGCGGUACUGCGUAGGCGGCAGGCGUUAUCCGGAUUUACUGGGUGUAAAGGGAGCGUAGACGGCUGUGCAAGCCAGAUGUGAAAGCCUGGGGCUCAACCCCGGGACUGCAGUUGGAACUGUGUGGCUGGAGUGUCGGAGAGGUAGGCGGAAUUCGUGGUGUAGCGGUGAAAUGCGUAGAUAUCAGGAGGAACACCGGUGGCGAAGGCAGCCUGCUGGACGAUGACUGACGUUGAGGCUCGAAAGCGUGGGGAGCAAACAGGAUUAGAUACCCUUGUAGUC
rnacentral:rRNA from 1 species